UGGGGAAUAUUGCACAAUGGGCGAAAGCCUGAUGCAGCAACGCCGCGUGAGUGAUGAAGGCCUUCGGGUUGUAAAGCUCUGUCUUCUGGGACGAUAAUGACGGUACCAGAGGAGGAAGCCACGGCUAACUACGUGCCAGCAGCCGCGGUAAUACGUAGGUGGCAAGCGUUGUCCGGAUUUACUGGGCGUAAAGGAUGCGUAGGCGGAUACUUAAGUCAGAUGUGAAAAUCCCGGGCUUAACUUGGGAACUGCAUUUGAAACUGGGGAUCUAGAGUGCGGGAGAGGAAAGUGGAAUUCCUAGUGUCGCGGUGAAAUGCGUAGAGAUUAGGAAGAACACCAGUGGCGAAGGCGACUUUCUGGACCGUAACUGACGCUGAGGCAUGAAAGCGUGGGGAGCAAACA
rnacentral:rRNA from 1 species